UUUUUUUUUUUUUUUUUUUUUUUUUUUGUUUUUGUUUUUUGAAAACAGAAGAACACCUUAUCUG
rnacentral:ribozyme from 1 species